rnacentral:misc_RNA from 1 species
UUCCAUCCUCCCUGCAAAUGCCAACAUGUCCAAUGAAAGGUGCCAACCAUGAGACAACUGGAAGUGGAGUCCAAACUAGACAACACGGAAACUUGGCUUUAUUUGGAUCAAUUUCAUCUAGUGGCCACAACUCAUGCUGAAAUCCUGAUGUAGAACUCAUAUGCUCAAUAUCAGAAGCUCCUUGUACAUCCAUAACAGAAAAUCUUCCGCGUUGCAUGUGGAUUUCAGCACCUUUCUAUGGUGAAACAUAAAAUAUGUCAAACUACACCCCCAGACAUAAUGUACCGGUAAAAAGAGGCGGCGAAGAGGCCAAAAUAAAUUAAACAGGCUUGUAUAAAAUCAGCAAAGAAACCUUAGAGAAAAGAAAGUGUGAAAAAGAAGAAGAAACGUUUCUUUUCUUCUGGUAAUUGUUUAGACUGUUGCUGAAGGCUGCUGUGUU